GAGAAGAACGCAGCGAAAUGCGAUAAGUAAUGUGAAUUGCAGAAUUCAGUGAAUCAUCGAAUCUUUGAACGCACAUUGCGCCCGCCAGUAUUCUGGCGGGCAUGCCUGUUCGAGCGUCAUUACAACCCUCAGGCCCCCGGGCCUGGCGUUGGGGAUCGGCGGAAGCCCCCUGUGGGCACACGCCGUCCCUCAAAUACAGUGGCGGUCCCGCCGCAGCUUCCAUUGCGUAGUAGCUAACACCUCGCAACUGGAGAGCGGCGCGGCCAUGCCGUAAAACACCCAACUUCUGAAUGUUGACCUCGAAUCAGGUAGGAAUACCCGCUGAACUUAAGCAUAUCAAUAAGCGGAGGA
rnacentral:misc_RNA from 1 species